rnacentral:rRNA from 1 species
ACCCGUUGAUCCUGCGGGAGGUUGCUGCUAGGGGGAUUCGACUAAGCCAUGCAAGUUUUCUCGCAAGAGAGGCGAAAUGCUCAGUAACACGUCGUUAACAUGCCCUUUGGUCAGGGAUAAGCACGGGAAACUGUGUGUAAUACCUGAUACGAGAACCAAUCUGCAAUGAUGGUUCUUGUGAAACUCGUGCCAAAGGAUUGGACGGCGGCGGAUUAGGCUGUUGGCGGUGUAACGGACCACCAAACCUAAGAUCCGUACGGGCCAUGAGAGUGGUAGCCCGGAGAGGGACACUGAGAUACUGGUCCCAGCCCUACGGGGUGCAGCAGGCGCGAAACCUUUACAAUGCACGCAAGUGUGAUAAGGGGAUCCCCCGUGCUCAUGCACAGCAUGGGCUUUUGCCAAGUGUAAAUAGCUUGGCGAAUAAGUGGUGGGUAAGACUGGUGCCAGCCGCCGCGGUAACACCAGCGCCACGAGUGGCAACCGUGUUUAUUGGCCUAAAGCGUCCGUAGCCGGUUUGGUAAAUCCUUUGUGAAAUUGCUCGGCUUAACCGAACAGCGCGCAAGGGAGACUGCCAAGCUCGAGACCGGGAGGAGUCAGAAGUAUUCCAGGGGGAGCGGUAAAAUGUUAUAAUCCCUGGAGGACUACCUGUGGCGAAGGCGUCUGACUAGAACGGAUCUGACGGUGAGGGACGAAAGCCAGGGGAGCGAACCGGAUUAGAUACCCGAGUAGUCCUGGCCGUAAACGCUGAGAGCUAGGUGUUGCAUCAAUUACAUGUUGAUGCAGUGUCGAAAUGAAGAUGUUAAGCUCACCGCCUGGGAAGUACGGUCGCAAGACUGAAACUUUAAGGAAUUGGCGGGGGAGCACCACAAGGGGUGCGGCGUGCGGUUUAAUCUAACUCAACGCAGAGAACCUUACUAGAAGCGACGGCAGGAUGAAGGCCAACUUGAAGAGUUUGCCUGACAAGCCGAGAGGUGGUGCAUGGCCGCCGUCAGCUCGUGCUGUGAAGUGUCCAGCUAAGCCUGGCAACGAGCGAGACCUGUAUUUGCAAUUGCUAACAGCCACUUGUGGGACUGAGCACUUUGCAAAGACUGCCCUGGAAACAGGGAGGAAGGUGCAGGCUACGGUAGGUCUGUAUGCCCCGAAUCUUCUAGGCUACACGCGCGCAACAAUGGUUGGGACAAUGGGAUGCCACUCCGAAAGGAGAAGCUAAACCUCUAAACCCCAUCCAAGUCCAGAUUGAGGCUUGCAACUCAGCCUCAUGACGACGGAAUCCCUAGUAAUCAGAAGUCAUCAUCUUCUGGUGAAUAUGUCCCUGCUCCUUGCACACACCGCCCGUCAAAUCAACCGAGCAGGGUCUAGGUAAAACGUGGUUUUUUGAUCACGCUGAAUCUAGGCUCAGUGAGGUGGGUUAAGUCGUCACAAGGUA